rnacentral:lncRNA from 1 species
AAUUCAAAUCAGUCAUCAGCUUCCCACUGAGUUCAAAACACCUCUUUCACCAUUUUAAAUGAUUUUUAAAUGGAUGCAAUGCACUCGAUCUUCCAGCUGAAAUAACUUCUGUAUUAUCCUCCAAGCCUGAAUUCCUUUCCCCCCUUGCUCUCUGUUCACUUCAGAUAAUUCAAUGGGAAUUUAUUUGAAAAGAGGUGGUGGGUCACAAAUGAAGUAAAAUGCUGACAGCAGGAGUUCCUACCCAGUCAUUGCUUAUGUGAAAGGCAGGGAGCCAGAUUUAGGGAGCUGUGGGAUAGUUAUCAUUAGUCUGGUUGAAAAUAUUCCAUCUCAACUGAGGUUUUUUUAUUUUUUUUUUCUUUUCCCAUAAGAAUCGAUUUUCUUUUGAUUAAAUGAAAUUUUUAGAGAAUGUGUCUUUUCCCUUGUCUUGCUGGAAAAAGUCAAAUACCUGAAAAACUAAACUCUAACUAGCCCUAGCCAUGGGCCUGCCUAGAGGCGCUGCCGGGGAAGGGGCCUUCUGGGAAGUGUAGUUUGAUUUAGGAAAUCAAAGGUGCUGUGGGGAAGGGUGGAGGCACCCUGGAGCCAAGCUGCACCUCCCAGGCAGGAUUUGUCAGUUAAACUGCUCUGGCUUGUGGCUGAGAAGAAAAGCAGCUUCUGAAUUCAAACCCGUAAAAGCUCUGGUUUUGAUGAAAAACAUAUGAGCUUAGUUGCCGGCUCUAUUCCUGGUGAAAUCUCCUGAACCUUACUCCUUACUCCAGAAAAUGCAAUGCCUGCAUGAAAUAUUCAUUGCUCCCCACGCCACCACGGUGCACAGAUGCCAGAGGAUCUCACUAGUGCUUUAGCUGAGGGUGUCACUGGAGGCUUCUUCCAGACCCUUCAUGAGGCUCACCCCAAGCACGGUGAAAAAGAAUGAAGAGGGGUUAAACUUCGCAGAGCAGAGGUGCUUUUUUUCCCUUUUUUUUUUUUUUUGAAAAAGAAGUUCUGUGGCUCCCUCUCUAGAUGGAAGAGGGAAAAAAAAAUAAAGUUGCUUUCUUGUGGUCUGUUUAAGAGCUU